GCCCGUGCGGUAUGGUGGCGGUAUUGGAAACAACUGCAACGCACUUUGUGGCGUAGGACACCUUAGCUGUGCGGGUUC
rnacentral:sRNA from 19 species